AUGGCAUCUCCAGGUGAAAUGACAGGAGCCAGUAUGCUGCGCCUUCAGUGUUUUCCUAGUAAUAUGGUAAAACAAAGUCCUGGUUUCAUCUCUGCAAGAAAUCAUUGGCUGAGAAGGUCACGAAUGGUUCGACACUGCUUGGACCUACGGCAUCUUUGCAGGCUACCUAAACAGAGAGGUACUGUUCCAAAUAAGCGACCAAGGCAUGCUCCUAGUGCUUCAGUAUAUAGGGGCGUUAUUAGCCCAUUGCUAGAGGAAUCGGUUGAUGAGGCGGAGUCAAGAUCAAGGAUUAUUCACUUUUACCGUAAACCACUACUUCAAGACAAUGAGACUGAGGAGUUACUCAAGAAAGUUCAGGCAAAAGUUUCUUGUAAUAUUAUUGACAUACAGACUGAGCAAUGUUUUAAUGUGGAAUUGGAGAAGGCACUAGCGUCUGAUAAGCUUGCAACACUUCAGUGGCUCCUUGCAGAAACUUAUGAACCUUAUAACUUACAAACAAGGAGCUUUCUUGAGGAGGAAAUCAGUAGCAGCCCUUAUUCUGUCCUUGUUGAGGUUGGACCACGGAUGACAUUUUCAACUGCUUUCUCAACCAAUGCCGUCUCAAUUUGUAAAGCUCUAUCAUUAAUAGAAGUAACUCGCUUGGAGAGAUCUCGAAGAUAUCUUUUGCACUUUCAGCCUGGCAGUGGAGAACUUGAUGAAAGCCAACUCAACAGCUUUGCUGCUUUGGUUCAUGACAGAAUGACAGAAUGUGUUUAUCCUAGCAAGCUCACAUCAUUUUGGUCGGAUGUAGUUCCAGAACCUGUCAGUGUUAUACCAGUCAUUGAAAGGGGAAGGGAAGCAUUGGAGGAAAUAAAUAUGAAAAUGGGGCUUGCUUUUGAUGAGCAAGAUAUUAAAUACUACACCCACCUCUUCAGAGACGACAUCAAGCGCAAUCCAACUACUGUGGAGCUUUUUGAUAUAGCGCAAUCCAAUAGUGAACACAGCAGGCAUUGGUUUUUCAACGGAAAGCUUGUGAUAGAUGGAGAGACCAUGGCUAGUACUUUGUUCCAGUUAGUGAAGAGCCCCUUGAAGGCCAACCCUAAUAACUCUGUAAUUGGUUUCAAGGACAACUCAAGUGCAAUAAAAGGACACCCAGUAAAUCAUCUACGUCCAUCACUUCCUGGUUCCACUUCACCGUUAUCCCUCAUGAUGCGUGAGCUUGACAUUCUGUUCACAGCAGAAACCCAUAAUUUUCCAUGUGCUGUGGCACCUUACCCAGGAGCUGAAACAGGUGCAGGUGGCCGCAUAAGGGACACACAUGCCACUGGAAGAGGUUCUUUUGUCGUUGCUUCCACUGCUGGUUAUUGUGUUGGAAAUCUUCGAAUGGAAGAAUUUUAUGCACCUUGGGAGGAUUCAUCCUUUUCAUACCCAUCGAACUUAGCUUCUCCUUUGCAGAUCCUUAUUGAUGCCAGUGAUGGUGCUUCUGACUAUGGUAACAAGUUUGGUGAGCCUAUGAUUCAGGGAUUUACAAGAAGCUUUGGUACAAGGUUGCCAAAUGGGGAGCGUCGAGAGUGGUUAAAGCCAAUAAUGUUCAGUGGAGCAAUAGGCCAGAUUGAUCAUGCACAUAUAGAUAAGGGGGAUCCAGAAAUUGGCAUGCUAGUUGUGAAGAUUGGUGGUCCAGCAUAUAGAAUUGGUAUGGGUGGUGGUGCUGCCUCAAGUAUGGUUAGUGGACAGAAUGACGCAGAGCUUGAUUUCAAUGCAGUGCAGCGCGGAGAUGCUGAGAUGUCACAGAAACUGUAUCGUGUUGUCAGGGCAUGUGUAGAAAUGGGAGAGAAGAACCCAAUUAUCAGCAUUCAUGACCAGGGUGCUGGUGGAAAUUGCAAUGUUGUGAAAGAAAUAAUCUAUCCUAAGGGUGCUGAAAUUGAUAUCCGUAAAAUUAUCGUUGGUGAUCAUACAUUGUCUGUGUUGGAGAUCUGGGGUGCUGAAUACCAGGAACAAGAUGCAUUGUUGGUGAAGCCUGAGAGCAGAAGCCUGUUGGAGUCACUUUGUGAGAGAGAAAGAGUUUCAGUGGCUGUCCUUGGGGAAAUUGAUGGCAGUGGAAAGAUUGUUUUGAUCGAUAGUGCUGCCGUGGAGUAUGCCAAGUUGAAUGACCUUCCCCCUCCCGUCCCCGUUGUUGAUCUUCAGCUUGAAAAGGUUUUAGGAGAUAUGCCUCAGAAGACAUUUGAAUUUAAGAGAAUUUCUCGAUUGGGUGAGCCCUUAGAUAUUGCACCUGAGGUCACGCUAAUGGAUAUUCUUAAGCGAGUAUUGAAGCUGCCUUCUGUAUGUUCAAAGCGUUUCUUGACCACAAAGGUUGACAGGUGUGUGACAGGUCUUGUUGCACAACAGCAGACAGUUGGUCCUCUUCAACUUCCACUUGCCGAUGUCGCUGUGAUUGCACAGACAUACACAGAUCUGACAGGUGGUGCUUGCGCCAUUGGAGAACAACCAAUGAAGGGUUUACUUAAUCCUAAGGCCAUGGCAAGGCUUGCUGUUGGGGAGGCCUUGACCAAUCUGGUUUGGGCUAAAGUUACAUCACUUGCUGAUGUCAAAGCAAGUGGUAACUGGAUGUAUGCUGCAAAGCUUGAUGGAGAAGGAGCAGAUAUGUAUGAUGCCGCUGUUGCGUUGGCUGACUGCAUGAUUGAACUUGGUAUUGCAAUUGAUGGUGGAAAAGACAGCCUUUCUAUGGCAGCUCAAUGUGACGGUGAGGUAGUCAAGGCUCCUGGCAAUCUUGUUAUCAGUGCUUAUGUGACCUGUCCUGAUAUAACUUUGACCGUCACUCCAGAUUUAAAGCUGGGAAAGGAUGGUGUCUUGUUACAUAUUGACCUGGCUAAAGGAAAACGGCGGCUUGGUUGUUCUGCUCUCACACAAGCGUUUGACCAAAUUGGAAAUGACUGCCCAGACAUAGAAGAUGUUCCUUACUUGAAGAAAGUAUUUGAGGCUGUUCAGGAAUUGCUUGGUGAACGUCUUAUUUCGGCCGGUCAUGACAUUAGUGAUGGUGGGCUUAUUGUUACUAUUCUUGAGAUGGCAUUUGCUGGCAACUGUGGUGUUAACCUCAACAUUGACUCAAAAGACAGUGGCCUUCUACAAGCACUUUUUGCCGAGGAGCUUGGUCUUGUCAUUGAAGUUCACUCAAAUGACCUUGCUGCUGUAAAGAAAAAGCUUCAAGCAGCAGGCGUCUCUGUUAACGUAAUAGGAGAAGUAAAUACAACACCAGAGAUAGAGCUGGUUGUUGAUGAUGAGAUGUGCCUGAAUGAAAGCGUUUCAGACCUCAGGGAUUUGUGGGAAGAAACGAGCUUCCAGCUUGAGGAGCUACAACGGCUGAAGUCUUGUGUCAAGCUUGAGAAAGAAGGCUUAAAAAGCCGAACAUCUCCUUUGUGGCAUCUGUCUUUCACCCCCAACUUCACAGACAAGGAGCAAUUGACUGCGUCAUCUAAACCGAAAGUUGCCAUCAUUCGCGAAGAAGGGAGCAACAGUGAUAGGGAAAUGGCUGCUGCAUUCCAUGCUGCUGGAUUUGAACCAUGGGACAUUUCAAUGUCAGACCUCUUGAAUCAGAAGGCCUCUCUAGUGGAAUUCCGUGGGAUUGCAUUUGUUGGCGGUUUUAGCUAUGCUGACGUUCUAGAUUCGGCAAAAGGCUGGGCAGCUUCUAUCAGGUUCAACCAGCCUCUCAUACAGCAGUUCCAGGAGUUCUACAACAGGCCAGACACAUUCAGCCUUGGAGUGUGCAACGGCUGUCAGCUCAUGGCCCUUCUCGGUUGGGUGCCAGGACCAGGUAUCGGAGGUUCUCUUGGUCCAGGUGGAGACAUGGCCCAGCCAAGGUUCAUUCACAAUGAAUCUGGCCGUUUUGAGUGCCGCUUUACCAGUGUGGCCAUAGGGGAAUCUCCUGCUAUAAUGUUCAGAGGCAUGGAAGGCUCUACCUUGGGCAUUUGGACUGCUCAUGGUGAAGGGAGAGCCUUGUUCCCAGAUAAAAAUGUUUUAUCUGGUGUUGUUAACUCUAAUCUGGCUCCUCUGAGAUAUUGUGAUGACACUAACAAUGCCACCGAAGUCUAUCCUUUUAACCCUAAUGGUUCUCCUCUUGGUAUCGCGGCCCUUUGUUCCCCUAAUGGAAGGCACCUUGCUAUGAUGCCACACCCAGAGCGUUCCUUCAUGAUGUGGCAAUACCCAUGGUACCCCAAGGAAUGGCAGGUUGAGAAGGGUGGUCCGAGUCCUUGGUUGCGCAUGUUCCAGAAUGCACGAGAAUGGUGUUCAUAG
rnacentral:rRNA from 1 species